UGAGGAAUAUUGGUCAAUGGGCGCGAGCCUGAACCAGCCAAGUAGCGUGCAGGAAGACGGCCCUAUGGGUUGUAAACUGCUUUUAUGCGGGGAUAAAGGAGUCCACGUGUGGAUUUUUGCAGGUACCGCAUGAAUAAGGACCGGCUAAUUCCGUGCCAGCAGCCGCGGUAAUACGGAAGGUCCGGGCGUUAUCCGGAUUUAUUGGGUUUAAAGGGAGCGUAGGCCGCGUUUUAAGCGUGUUGUGAAAUGUAGACGCCCAACGUCUGCAUCGCAGCGCGAACUGGGACGCUUGAGUACGCGCAACGUUGGCGGAAUUCGUCGUGUAGCGAUGAAAUGCUUAGAUAUGACGAGGAACUCCGAUUGCGAAGGCAGCUGACGGGAGCGGCACUGACGCUUAAGCUCGAAGGUGCGGGUAUCAAACAGG
rnacentral:rRNA from 1 species